UCACAACCUCAGCCGUCUCUGCGCCAGUCGCCAGGGAUUCCGAAAAUGACAGUCAGAAACAAACCCCCAAACAUGUUACAAGUCUCUCAAUAGACAGUAUUGAUAUUCAGUUCUUUCUCUUUGGGAAUGGAGUACUUAAAUAAUUGUUCUUUCAUUGACCAUGAAGUGGUUAUUAUUUACUUUAUAUUUUGUUAUCACACCUUUUAGUACUUAAUUUAUUUACAAGCUAUAUGUACAUGAAUUCAGAGCUAUUUUGGACUCUUAGGAUUUGAAGUUCUUAUCUUUAUACUUCUAUGAAUCCAUGUUUUAUUCAAAUGUUAUUUUGUGUAUCAUAUGUAUAUAUUUUGUACAUGUUUAUCAUUGAACACAGAUUUAGAGGCUGGCGAUAUAUUGCAUCAUGUGAUGAAUGACUCUUGAAGUUUUGUUGAAGUUUGAACUUAUUCAGUCUCUGUGAUAAGUAUUUUUCGUGUGACCAGCUAGGAUUCCGUCCCUUUUGUUGUUUUAAUUUUAUCUUUGAAAAUAUGAAAUGUCUUCAAUAAAACAUCACAAUUUAC
rnacentral:misc_RNA from 1 species